GUUUGUAAGAUUGAAUUAAUAAUAAAUAAAAGUAACUUCCUAUUUAUUUUUUUGAGCAAAUUUAGGACUGUGUUAUUGAUUUUGAAGAGCAAUAUAUGUUUGAUUAGCUGAAUUGAUGGUCAUAAGUACAAUCGGCGAAAACACUCGUUGCUGGGCGGUGUGUGAUGUUUUGUUCAAAAGAAAAGGUUUUAAUAAACUUCGAAACUAUUUUGUACCUAUCUAGGUACUGCGGAUGCAUUGUACUUCCGAGGGAAUACUGUUGAGUACGCGAAAUAUGAAAACAGUACCAGUCGGGUGAGUAUAGUUGUUGCAAUCCAUGCUAUAUCAUUUUAGCACAAUCCUUAUCGACCUAACGAGUGUGUUGAGGGUACCUAAAUAUCGAGUCAGGAUUCGAGCCAGGACUCGAGCCAGGACUCGAGCCAAGACUCGAGCUAGGACUCGAACCAGGACUCGAUUCAGGACUCGAGCCAAAAAUGACGUCAGGUGAUUUUGAUGGAUGAAAAUUUACCAACAGCGUUCUCACUUUUAAGGAACUUUCCUUAAAUUUAGACUAUUCGUUCACCAACAAUGCGAAAUGUGUAAGGACAUUUAACUGAAUCUGAGGAAUUGUUUAUCGAUAAUCUAAGUGAUAUUUCGCAAAUGGGAAGUGAGAGAACUUGUUUACGAAAUCAAUUUCCCGCCUUUUUCCACCAGAGUCGAUAAAAGAAUUAAGGAACGAAAGUUUAUAUACGGUAUAUUUGAAAAAAAAAGAGCUGUUAAUCUCAUCUGACUUUGGCUAACUGUAACGGUUAUUAGAGUCAGAAGACAGUGAAUGAAACAAUAGUCAAUACCAUUGUUGUUGUUUGUGUUUGAUAUAUCGCACAAAUAACGAUAUCCAAAAAAGGGAAAUAUCCGGCCUGUAUUUUAUCCGACUAAAACAGUUGGUAUUGCCCAUCACUAGUAGUCUCUCGCUCUUUACAAAACAGAUACUUGUUGCCGCUCAUUGCCGCUUAGCAUUCGUCAAAGAGUAGGAUAAUCUCCCUGCCUUAUUUUCCUGUAAUAGACGCCAAUAUCACCAAACUGUAUUAUAGAAGAGCCGGCCACGCUGGCUAACUGUAUUACCAAAUACACCCUUUCGAUAAUUACACAUACUUUUUGGUCUUGGAUUGGAACCUCGCUCUCAUUGGUAAAUUACACGAGGUGAUUAGCGUAAUUAUUGAAAGGUUGUAGUAAUUUGCUAGUAGUAGAACAUUUAGCUAGCCUGCGUAACGUGUCUUAUGAAACAAAACCAUUGGGUAAUGGCAAUUCCACGUAUUUUCGCAUUUUUUUGAUCGAGUCCUGACUCGAGUCCUGGCUCGAGUCCUGACUCGAGUCCUGGCUCGAAUCCUGACUAGAGCAAUAGUAUAUCUCGAGUGUGUUGAUUUAAAUUAAUUUUAUUAAGCCGAUUUAUUAAAUUUAAGCUCUGUGCGAUAUUUUUGGUGGUAUCUCAAAUCAUUUGAGAAGUAAGCUGCUUUCGAAGUAGCAAGCUUAACUUAUAAGUUUUGGUUUGUGGAAACAACAUGUCUAUUUAUAAUUGGAAAGCUUUCGAUCCGUAAGCGCGGAUCUUCAUCAGUGUUAAUAACGUGUGAUUUGUUUAAUAGUUCACACUGUCUAUAAAUUUAUUGUAAGUAUUUAAGCGAAAGCGAAAGUUUUUAAAACGUAGGCCUACAAUUCGGUAGGCCCAUAUUUUGGAUCGGCCCACAUUACGUAGGCCCACAUUUUGGAUCAAACAACUUGGCUCAGAUCUUUCCAAUCAACGUUGACAGAGACGGAAUUUCCGGUCAGACCUGUCAGAUUGCGUAAAUAUAAAGCACCUUAAAGGCUCUUUUCCACUCAUCUCAAAAACAGUUCGCAGCGAGCUGCGAGUCCUCGCAAGCUCGCAGGUCAAUUUCCACAUUCCAUCAUCUCCCGUGACUAAUUUACGUGUUUGCAAAAUGGCGGCCGCUUAGUUAAAUCGGCGCCUUUUGCCCAGGCUUACUUUAUUUAUUAAGACGACGUAGGAGAAGACGUCUCAAGUAUGUAAAACGUUUUUGGAUUCGCCCGAUGAUAUUCUCAACGAAUAUUUUCAACGAUGUGAUAUUUUCAACGAAUUCCAUUGGUACUGGUCUUUUUUGUUCACGCGAUCAGAAAAUAUUGUUCAAAUGAUUUAACUUUGCUGCACCGGAGUGUUCGCAAGCUCGCUGUGAGUUACUCGCUAGUACUCGCAAGCUCGCUGCGAGCUGUUUUUGCGAUGAGUAGAAAAGAGCCUUAAUUAAAGGCGGUUUUCCACUAGGCGAAAUUUUUCGACCGAAUCGAAAUUUCUCUUUGUUUCAUGAGCUCUCGAGCAGAACUAAUUGUAAAAAGACAAAGAAAAAUUUCGUUUCGGUCGAAAAAUUCCGCCUCGUGGAAUCAGGCCUUAAGGGACUGUUUGAAGCUGAAAUUGGAAAUUGAAGAACCUGCAUACACCGAAAUCAGUGUUUCCACUUCCACAACACACAAUUUCCUGUUUUGCCCAUUUUUUUGUUCAAAAGUUCAUUCAUUGGACAUGGGACCUUUUACUAUCGAAAAACAGAGAGCUCGCCAAAUUAAAGAUAACUUUACCGGCAAAAAUAAACAACGGUUUUCUGUAUUGAUUAUCUUCAUCGCUACCUUGAUCGACUCCCACCCCCACCCACUGGCACUGCCGUAAUUUAUACCAAUAUUUAAACACAUUACAGGCUGCUGUUCCUGAAAAAGAAUUAAAUGCAAUCACGUCAUGUUUCUGGAUUAAAACGCAGAAACGUUCUGAGGAGCCCACUGUGUUGUCAUAUGCAGUUCCCCGUACAGAUAAUGAAUUCACUAUAUAUUUAACACCAACUAUUAGAGUGUUAGUCAAAGACGAACUUGGACCCCCAAUGUUAUUAUUCGAGUAAGUAAAAGAC